GGGCCCGUAGCUCAGCGGCAGAGCGGGCGGCUCAUAACCGCUUGGUCGCAGGUUCGAAUCCUGCCGGGCCCACUA
rnacentral:tRNA from 1 species